GGUUAAGUGACUAAGCGUACACGGUGGAUGCCUUGGCAGUCAGAGGCGAUGAAAGACGUAAUAACUUGCGAUAAGCCCAGAUUAGGUAGUAAUAACCUUUUGAGUCUGGGAUUUCUGAAUGGGGAAACCCACGUGCAUAAGCACGUAUCCUGUUGUGAAUACAUAGCAACAGGAGGCAAACCGGGGGAACUGAAACAUCUAAGUACCCCGAGGAAGAGAAAUCAACCGAGAUUCCGAAAGUAGCGGCGAGCGAAAUUGGAUUAGCCCUUAAGCUUUUAAUGAUGCAGGUGAAGAGUCUGGAAAGUCUCGCAAUAAAGGGUGAUAGCCCCGUAACCGACACAUCAUAAUCAGUGAAAUCGAGUAGGGCGGGACACGUGAUAUCCUGUCUGAAUAUGGGGGGACCAUCCUCCAAGGCUAAAUACUACUGACUGACCGAUAGUGAACCAGUACCGUGAGGGAAAGGCGAAAAGAACCCCUGUGAGGGGAGUGAAAUAGAACCUGAAACCGUGUACGUACAAGCAGUAGGAGCACCUUCGUGGUGUGACUGCGUACCUUUUGUAUAAUGGGUCAGCGACUUAAUUUUAGUAGCAAGGUUAACCGUUUAGGGGAGCCGUAGGGAAACCGAGUCUUAACUGGGCGUACAGUUGCUAGGAUUAGACCCGAAACCAGGUGAUCUAGCCAUGGGCAGGUUGAAGGUUGAGUAACAUCAACUGGAGGACCGAACCGACUAAUGUUGAAAAAUUAGCGGAUGACUUGUGGCUAGGGGUGAAAGGCCAAUCAAACCUGGAGAUAGCUGGUUCUCCCCGAAAGCUAUUUAGGUAGCGCCUCGGACGAAUACUACUGGGGGUAGAGCACUGUUAAGGCUAGGGGGUCAUCCCGACUUACCAACCCUUUGCAAACUCCGAAUACCAGUAAGUACUAUCCGGGAGACACACGGCGGGUGCUAACGUCCGUCGUGGAGAGGGAAACAACCCAGACCGCCAGCUAAGGUCCCAAAGUAUAGCUAAGUGGGAAACGAUGUGGGAAGGCUCAGACAGCCAGGAUGUUGGCUUAGAAGCAGCCAUCAUUUAAAGAAAGCGUAAUAGCUCACUGGUCGAGUCGGCCUGCGCGGAAGAUGUAACGGGGCUAAGCUAUACACCGAAGCUGCGGCUACGUACCUUAGGGUAUGUGGGGUAGGGGAGCGUUCUGUAAGCCGUUGAAGGUGGUCUGUAAGGGCUGCUGGAGGUAUCAGAAGUGCGAAUGCUGACAUGAGUAACGAUAAAGGGAGUGAAAAACUCCCUCGCCGGAAGACCAAGGGUUCCUGUCCAACGUUAAUCGGGGCAGGGUAAGUCGACUCCUAAGGCGAGGCCGAAAGGCGUAGUCGAUGGGAAAC
rnacentral:rRNA from 1 species